rnacentral:misc_RNA from 1 species
AAGUCGUAAAGCGGCUCAUGGAAGCGUAAGGAGACGCUGUAACGUUUUGCUGUAGGCCAACACGGCCGGCAAUCCAAGUGGUUGUACUUCGGUACCCUCACAUCGGCACACCACCGAUGAUAUGUCAAUUUCGCGAAUGGACUAAAAGCCUCGCACCAAAAACCGAACAACUGUUAACAAUGGAUAUCUUGGUUCUC